GUGUAAGUACUAGCCAAUUAUAAAAUGGUGAAACCGCGAAAAGCUCAUUAAAUCGGCUUUGGUUCCUUAGACAGUAUGCAGAUGGGAGCUCUUUUUGAAAGAGAAGAGCAAAAGUCUGAUUUGGAUAACUGUGGUAAUUCUAGAGCUAAUACAUGAAAAUGAAUCAGUGUGAAAUUCGUGUGUUAACGCAUACGGAUUUCGCACGCUUUUAUUAGAGAAAAAAGCCAAUUUAGUUUUUUUGAAUUGAUGCAUCAGUGGAGCUACGUGUGGCAGAUAGAUAAGUUGGCUUUAUUGCUUACGAAUUUUUUUGCAGCGUACGCUUAAGCUGUGUAUCGUCAAAAAAGAAUCAAUUUUAGAAAUGGUGUUGAAUCUGAAUAACUUAAACGGAUUUCUUUCGAAAGAAUUUGUGACGAAGUGCUCUUUGGCAUUUCACUGCAGAUUCGAUUAGGGAGAGAUUUAAAGCAGACUGCAUUUAAAGCCGUGCUCAAUGUUUAGCUGCUUUUCGCUUAAUCGGUGAUAGGCGGUCAUACGAGUGUCGGUGUUUGCAGUGUGUCUUUCAAUUGUCCGCCUUAUCAACUGUCGAUGGUAGGUUACAUGCCUACCAUGGUUGUAACGGGUAACGGGGAAUCAGGGUUCGAUUCCGGAGAGGGAGCCUUAGAAACGGCUACCACAUCUAAGGAAGGCAGCAGGCACGCAAAUUACCCACUCCCGGCACGGGGAGGUAGUGACGAUAAAUAACGAUCCGGAACUCAAAUGAGUUUCCGAAAUCGGAAUGAGUACAAUUUAAAUCCUUUAACGAGGAACUAAUGGAGGGCAAGUCUGGUGCCAGCAGCCGCGGUAAUUCCAGCUCCAUUAGCAUAUAUUAAAGUUGUUGCGUUUAAAAAGCUCGUAGUCGAAUCUAUAUCUUACGCUGUCGAUCGCUUGUGAUUUAAUUCGUGAGUUUGAUUGACAUUUGUGUAAGAUAUUUCUGACGGCGGAUAUUCGAUGUUCAUUGCGCAAUUCGCGUAAAUAACAUGUCGAUAAUUCGAUACGAUUAGCUUUUACUUAAUUGGUUUUAAAGUGGUUCGAUGUGAUUAGCAAUCGGUCGUAAAGACGGGCUAGUAAACUGAUGAGCCGCGCGUGCGUGUAAAGCGCAUUGCGUGCUUGUCGUUAAGGUUUUUAGUGUUGUUGGCUGUGCGCGUCGCGUUGCAAAAUUGCUUUAGAACAAAGUCAAAAGUUUUUAUCGUAUUCUAAUUGGUGUUCGUGCUGGCGUAUACGCAUGAUUUUCAAGGUUUGGAAAUUGUGUGUGCAGCGCGUUCGCUUAAUUGGGUCGUCAAUAUUACUUUGAAUAAAUUAGAGUGCUUAAAGCAGGCAUAUUGAACUGCCUUGAAUAUGAACAGCAUGGAAUAAUAGAAUAUGAUCUCGAUACCGUUUCGUUUCAAACGUACAUUUAACGAUGUGGUGAUCCGUUAAACGAUUGUCGCAGUUUUGUGCGUUUCUAAUUGGCUUAAAGAGGCAUACCACUUGCGUUUCGAUUCAGAAAUGCAAGGGUUUGUUUCGACGGUAUAU
rnacentral:rRNA from 1 species